AUUCAGUUGAUGUUUUAUCUAAUUUUUCAUCAUUAUGUAUUAUUUUUCUUUUGGGACAACAAAACUGAAAGUCUGCAGAAAAUCUGUUUUGUUAUCAUAGAUUAAUCUAAAGCAAUUGACAUCUAUUUUAAUAAACAAUAAACAUGGAUGGUGAGACAAGCACAAUAAACUAUAAAUGGCAUAUCUUCAGUCUGAUUAUUCCAAAAAAUACCAGGAUUUGCUCAUAUCCAUUUUCUACACGAAAAAAUCUUAGUUUUGAUAUCAGUAUCCGAACAAAACAGCUUCACUGGAAACAUGCGCCAUGUCUACGUUCAUAAGACUUAUAAAAAAUUUUUUC
rnacentral:lncRNA from 1 species